rnacentral:rRNA from 1 species
GAUGAACGCUGGCGGCGUGCUUAACACAUGCAAGUCGAACGGUGAACACGGAGCUUGCUCUGUGGGAUCAGUGGCGAACGGGUGAGUAACACGUGAGCAACCUGCCCCUGACUCUGGGAUAAGCGCUGGAAACGGCGUCUAAUACUGGAUACGAGUAGCGAUCGCAUGGUCAGCUACUGGAAAGAUUUUUUGGUUGGGGAUGGGCUCGCGGCCUAUCAGCUUGUUGGUGAGGUAAUGGCUCACCAAGGCGUCGACGGGUAGCCGGCCUGAGAGGGUGACCGGCCACACUGGGACUGAGACACGGCCCAGACUCCUACGGGAGGCAGCAGUGGGGAAUAUUGCACAAUGGGCGGAAGCCUGAUGCAGCAACGCCGCGUGAGGGAUGACGGCCUUCGGGUUGUAAACCUCUUUUAGCAGGGAAGAAGCGAAAGUGACGGUACCUGCAGAAAAAGCGCCGGCUAACUACGUGCCAGCAGCCGCGGUAAUACGUAGGGCGCAAGCGUUAUCCGGAAUUAUUGGGCGUAAAGAGCUCGUAGGCGGUUUGUCGCGUCUGCUGUGAAAUCCCGAGGCUCAACCUCGGGCCUGCAGUGGGUACGGGCAGACUAGAGUGCGGUAGGGGAGAUUGGAAUUCCUGGUGUAGCGGUGGAAUGCGCAGAUAUCAGGAGGAACACCGAUGGCGAAGGCAGAUCUCUGGGCC